ACAAUCUGAGAAGUGUCAAGUGGUCAGUGGUCAAAGAGUUGAUAAUGCCGAGGGACGAGAUGGGGUUGUCUUAUCUUAGCAGUUAAUGCGCACUAGCUACACUUCUGACUCCUGACUCAAGUAUUUCUGUUUUCUGUGAAGGCUUAUCUGGCAUCCUACCUGCUAGAGAUCCCGGUAGGGCCAGGCACGGAACCUGCUUGUACUCAUCCCUGAGGAUUUGAAGGGCGCUGGACUGAAGGAUGGCAAAGUCUCCAUAAUCCAGAAAACGAACGCAGUACUGAGAGAAAAACAAAUAUAAUUGUCAAAUGUCAA